rfam:TPA: Bos taurus chromosome 14, whole genome shotgun sequence.
GCAUUGGUGGUUCAGUGGUAGAAAUCUUGCCUCCUACUUGGGAGACCUGGGUUCAAUUCCCAGCCAAUGCU